rnacentral:rRNA from 1 species
AACCUGGUUGAUCCUGCCAGUAGUCAUAUGCUUGUCUCAAAGAUUAAGCCAUGCAUGUCUCAGUAUAAGCUUCUAUACGGCGAAACUGCGAAUGGCUCAUUAAAACAGUUAUAGUUUAUUUGAUGGUCAACAAUUACAUGGAUAACCGUGGUAAUUCUAGAGCUAAUACAUGCGCCCAAACCCAACUCCGUGGAAGGGUUGUGUUUAUUAGAUACAGAACCAACCCAGGCCCCGCCUGGCAUUGAGGUGAUUCAUAAUAACCGAACGGAUCGCAUGGUUCGCCGGCGACAAAUCAUUCAAGUUUCUGACCUAUCAGCUAUCGUCGGUAGGGUAUUGGCCUACCGUGGCAAUGACGGGUAACGGAGAAUUAGGGUUCGAUUCCGGAGAGGGAGCCUGAGAAACGGCUACCACAUCUAAGGAAGGCAGC